rnacentral:rRNA from 1 species
CCUACGGGUGGCAGCAGUGGGGAAUAUUGGACAAUGGGCGAAAGCCUGAUCCAGCCAUGCCGCGUGUGUGAAGAAGGCCUUCGGGUUGUAAAGCACUUUCAGUGGGGAAGAAAGCCUUGGGGCUAAUACCCUCGAGGAAGGACAUCACCCACAGAAGAAGCACCGGCUAACUCCGUGCCAGCAGCCGCGGUAAUACGGAGGGUGCGAGCGUUAAUCGGAAUUACUGGGCGUAAAGCGCGCGUAGGCGGUCUGAUAAGCCGGUUGUGAAAGCCCCGGGCUCAACCUGGGAACGGCAUCCGGAACUGUCAGGCUAGAGUGCAGGAGAGGAAGGUAGAAUUCCCGGUGUAGCGGUGAAAUGCGUAGAGAUCGGGAGGAAUACCAGUGGCGAAGGCAGCCUUCUGGACUAACACUGACGCUGAGGUGCGAAAGCGUGGGUAGCAAACAGGAUUAGAUACCCGUGUAGUC